rfam:Arabis alpina cultivar Pajares chromosome 5, whole genome shotgun sequence.
GAUAGAAGAACAUAUAAGGAUAGCCAAGGAGACUGCCUGAUGUCUUUUUAUUAGCAAAAUGGUCGUUAAAUGAAAUAACCUAUAGUCACUUUUCAAACAUGACAUUGACCAUUUUACUUUUCAAAGAAGCAGGCAAGUCAUCCUUGGCUACCAAAUAUGAUUUUCUUAUUC